GCAUUAGUGGCUUAGUGGUAGAAUUCUUGCCUUCCAUUCAGGAGACCCAGGUUCAAUUCCUGGCUAAGGGU
rnacentral:tRNA from 1 species